rnacentral:rRNA from 1 species
AGUGAACGCUGGCGGCGUGCCUAAUACAUGCAAGUCGGCCGAAGUGACGCACGGGUGAGUAUUAUAUGUUUAAUCUGCCCUACACAGAGGACCACCAGUUGCAAACUACUGCUAAUACCUCAUAGUGUAGGAGGAGCCUAUAUCGUAUCAGCUAGUUGGUAAGGUAAUGGCUUACCAAGGCGAUGACGCGUAACUGGUCUGAGCGGAUGAUCAGUCACAUGGUAAGAGAGACACGGUGCAAACACCUACGGGAGGGAGCAGUAAGGAACAGUGCGGAAGGGGGGAAACCCUGACGCAACAAAGUUGCGUUGAGCAUGACACUUUUCGGGGAGGAGACUGGUGUUAGAAGGAAAUCGGUACCUGAUGAAUAAGCACCGGCUAACUCCGUGCUAGCAGCCGCGGUAAUAC